GCCAGUAUAGCUCAGCUGGUAGAGCAGCGCACUCGUAACGCGAAGGUCGUAGGUUCAAGUCCUAUUACUGGCACCA
rnacentral:tRNA from 1 species